UUCCUCUCUCUGCUUGCUCCUGGACCCCAUUCUGGCUGUUCGGUUUGCUUUUGGAUCUGAUCUUCGUCCAUCGUUCAAGCAGACCAUCCUGACCUUAACUCUGAAAAGUGAAUGUUUGAGAUUCACCAUCAACUGCAAUUGCAACAGGCUUUACCAACUGAAGAUGGGAAAUGGAUCUUCGCUCAACAAAAUAAGGAUGGAGCGCUUCGAGAUGCCCACGAACAAAGACGGUAGUAGUAGGGGUGGCUGGUGGUACCCGAACAGUUUAGGAGCCCUGAGAACCACAGUACCUCAGGGCUAGGACAGUAAAUGGUGGCCAAUGCAGGCCAGAGACAGGACUGCUGCCUGAAACUGUGCCAAGUGACUUUAGGAGCUGGCUGGCUCCAGGAAGAGAAGCCAGGAGAGGACAGUACUGAAUUUUAUUCCUCCUCCAGAUACAACUGGAUUUACAGACCUGAAAGGAUGUGGGCGGUCUCACUCUGUGGAUUGUGGGAUAAAAUGCUGCCUGCUGCUCAGACAAGGAACAAAGACUGCAGCUGGGGACAGGAGCUGACCUUGCUAAGGAAGCUACUGCUUGAAGGUUGUGAGGAGGGUGGGAAGGCAAGAGAAGGUGAACAGAGAGGCCGACUGGGGCUCAACCACACAAGGAAACAUCUGCCCAAAGGGGAGGUAGAGAAUAUGCUCCCUUGAAGCUUUUUCCAAGAAGCCAGACUGAAGAGUUCUCAAUUCCUGCAGCGUUGGUUAGAACUUGAGAAACACGCGGCCUUGACUUGGUUGUAGAGAAGAAGAAUUGAGCUCAGAGUUAAAGCAGCUAUAGUCUCGUGUAAAAGACAAGACCCACGUGGAUUGCACCGACUUCUCUAUAAUUUAACCGUCCCAUAGAAACGCUCAAGAAUAUUUAUAGGAACACAAACACUGUUGACCCAGAACUCUUUUUAAAUCUUAUUAAAAUCAAAGGCAAAACAAAG